rnacentral:rRNA from 1 species
ACAAGCGGCGGAGCAUGCGAUUAAUUCGAUGCAACGCGAAGAACCUUACCAAGGCUGACAUAUACCGGAAACUUCCAGAGAUGGUUGCCCCUUUUAGGUCAGUAUACAGGUGGUGCAUGGUUGUCGUCAGCUCGUGUCGUGAGAUGUUGGGUUAAGUCCCGCAACGAGCGCAACCCUCGUUCUAUGUUGCCAGCACGUAAUGGUGGGGACUCAUGGAAGACUGCCGGGGUCAACUCGGAGGAAGGUGGGGAUGACGUCAAAUCAUCAUGCCCCUUAUGUCUUGGGCUUCGCGCAUGCUACAAUGGCCGGUACAAAGGGCUGCGAUACCGCAAGGUGGAGCGAAUCCCAAAAAACCGGUCUCAGUUCGGAUUGGGGUCUGCAACUCGACCCCAUGAAGUCGGAGUCGCUAGUAAUCGCAGAUCAGCAACGCUGCGGUGAAUACGUUCCCGGGCCUU